GGGUAUAUAGCUCAGUGAUAGAGUGUGUGCUUAGCAUGCACGAGGUUCUGGGUUCAACCCCCAGUACCUCCA
rnacentral:tRNA from 1 species